UGCUAUCGAAGCGUCGCAGCGCGCUCCAGCGCUUACGUGCACGCACACAGAUGAUAGAGGGAUGUAUCAACAAUUCUUAGUUAAGGUAAUAACAUAUUUUAAUAUUGAAAAUGAGUAGACUAUUCCUUUAAUGUCCUGCACAUUACAUUACAUUACACAUCAAGCAAACAGAAAAAAACACAUAGCUAUAUUUAAUUAUUGAGGCAUUACUCACAUUAUUAUAUUGAGUUGUUCAUCGACUUAUUGAGAUGAGGUGUAAUGUUAUUGAAAAGUGAGAACUCAUCGAAAGUUGCUUAUUUUGCAGGUUUCAUCAGGACAAAAAAUAUAUCAGUCACUAUGUGAACUAUGGCAGACAUGAAGGAAACCGAUUCAGCUAUAAUGAUUCAGAGAAGAUUCUCUCUGUCUACUAUUACAGUUAUGCUCACAGUGAUCCUCACACUGUUGUUCACUACCAGUGCAGUCUGAGUCGAUCUACACGCAUUCAGAGGUUCAGUUUGGACGCGCCCCUGCAGAUCUGGGUGAAGAGUCCUUGUGUGUGUCCCAAUGCCUGUACACUGGUGGAUGUGGGUCCUGGCACCAUCUUCCUCAUCAUCCUCUGCCUCAGUGUAACAGCUUACUUUGUUAUAGGAUCUUGUGGCCUGCGGGCGUUCAGGAGCACCAAUGGCGUGCAGAUGGCUCCAGAGGACAGUGUUUGGUGUAUGCUCUGUUACAAACUCAAUGACCGGCCUCGUGUCAGUCCAAAGAAAAUAUUAUUCAAAGAAAGAGAGUACACUAGGAUCGAACAAGGACAAGCAAGGAGUCUGGACACAUCAUAUAGCUCCUCCAAAUCUUUUUUGGUCUAAUCUAACCCAAAUUUAGAGCACACACAAAAAAAACUAUUUGGUGGAAAACUGAGAUAUCCUCUAAAGUCUUUAAAAUCAAGUUUUAAAGGAAAACACCACCGUUUUCAAUAUUUUACUAUGUUUUUACUUCAACUUAGAGGUAUUAAUACAUACCUAUCUUUUUUC